UUUGGUGGCAAUAGCGAAGAGGUCACACCCGUUCCCAUACCGAACACGGAAGUUAAGCUCUUCAGCGCCGAUGGUAGUCGGGGGUUUCCCCCUGUGAGAGUAGGACGCCGCCAAGC
rnacentral:rRNA from 2 species